GGCGUUAGUUGGUGACAACUGCUUGGUACCUACGAUAGCUAGGUCUCGGCUAUAUCCAGUAAUCUUACAGUGAUCAAUAUGUCCCAGAUAUUUUCUAUAAGACUGCUGACUCUUACAGUAACGAAUUGACUUUUUUAGCUCACCCAACGCCUAUAGAAUACCUGUUAGUUCAGGUGCUGACUGCUCUUCCCGUAGAACCUCAGUUUACUUUCUCCAGCCAAAGUCAAGGAGAACCUUUCCCACCAGAGAACUGCUCAAGUAUGGGAGAAGGAUUUUCACACUUUAGUGAGAUACUUAAACCAGUUCCCUCCUGGUGAAUUCCUACCUGCUAUGUCCAAUUUUCAUUGCCUAGUUUUUCUGGCAACUUCCAACAUCCUUCCUUUAAAGGUCAUGUUCAUUUGUUGGCUUCAAGCCUGUGAUGAGAUCACAGCUAAUGAACUGCAAAGAGAUGCUUUGUAGCCAUAAUCUGGUUUUGGCGUCAAAUCAACAAACAGCAAAGAGAAGCUUUUAAUUCUUUCUUGAAUAAACCCAGGGCCAGGUUGUAAGUGUGAAAUCUGAUUUCAGAUCUGAAAGUUUUUGAAGAAAAUUCAGUCGAAUUUCUUUUUGUCUAGAAUAUGACUAUUUGACGCUUUAAAAAGAACACAGAAAAUUAUUCCAAAAAUGCUUUUGAACAAAGGAAAAAAGAAAUACAGAUUGCAAUUUAACCUUGGGUUAGUGCUAAUGGGCUCUUGAACAACUGGGCCCAGAACCAUAGCAACUGCAAAGACAAGUGGAAGAUACAAAGGCAACAUGAUAAGCCAGUAUGAACUGGAGUGAUGAACAAAGUGACAAGCUCUAAGCAGGAGGAGGAUGUGGCUGUAAACUUGAUCAGAGGAUUCUGAACACUCACAAUGUAGCAUAACCCUUUACACCCUAACAUCAGUAUGCAUAUUCUCCAUACUGUUCUGUAAACAUUUCCUAAUAUGCCGACAUGGAGAACUGUCCAACAAUCAAGAGCUUCUUAAGUAGGUGAUCAGCUCCUUUAUUCUCCUGACCUUAAUGUUUGAUUCAGGCGUGAUAUGGUAAGGAGAAAUUAGAUGCCAGUCACUCUCAGAGGUUCAAGGGUAAAAAAGCCUGAAUCAAUCUGUAGCUUGCACAACGGAGGGAAAAAUCAGCCAGGCUGGAUUCAAUUACUUGUUCUUGUACUAAAUUUAUGUUGAGGUUUUCAUGUCUCACUUCUGUUGAUUAUUUGUGUUGUGGCAGGAUCACUUAGGAGAUCUGUGUACGGCGAUCAGAAACAAAAAUGUUGAAUUGGCUCGGCGCUUGAGUAAAAGUGAACAGCGGUGCACAGUGAUACAGCUUAUGCAAGCUGCAAAGGCCCCCUCACCAGAGCCACAAGGAUCAGGGGAGGUGGACAUGUUUGAUAUGUCCCAUUCCCCCAGUGGUGCAGGCUGGUCGUGCAAGCACUGUACGCUUAUGAACCAACACAGACACGAGAACUGUGACAUGUGUGGCUUGCCUCAACACUGAGAAAAGAGAUUAAAAGUUUGUUGGAAAUCAUUAUUGCUAAAAGUCAAGAUGAAAC